ACAAAAUAUAAUUUAUUUAAACUACAACUUGUCAGACAUGAAACUUAAGUUGGCAAAAUAAAAAUAGAAAUAUACUUAAGUAGGCAUUCUGAUGAGCUCAAUGUCCACUGCAUCAUAAGAAAUAUAAAAUAUACAAUGUUAGAUACUAAAUGCUACAUAUUUACAUAUUUAAUAAAAAGUAAUUAAAUAGAACUUAUAAUAUAAGUAUAUAUUGCUUCUAACCUUGAUGGCGAUGAGCGACCAAGAAAUUGCAUUUUCUUAAACAUUUCCUGUUGGCAUGCCAUUACAAUGUCCAUUUGAGAAUUUAAUGCUUGUAUCUGAGAUUGUUGGUCUUGCAUUUGAGACUGCUGAUACUCAACAAUAGUUUCAGCUGUAUUUAGUCGUUUCUUUAAAUUAUAUUGGAUCGUAUCAGCUUCCUCUUUUGCCUUUUUGAGAGUCUUCCAGCUCUGCAGUUCUCCUUUGUGUAGCUAUUGUAGUAUUAGAUUUUGGACCAUAACCGAGACCUUUUAUGUAUCCCGAUUUUGUACCAAGUACAGUAUCCACGAUUUCAUCAAUAGUCAUAGAAGACUCUCCUGAACUAUAUAGAUCUUUCAAAUCUUUCAUGUUGUUAUAGUUAGUCUCAGUCUCUUGAGAUGACCAUUCUUUUUCCUUAAGAGUAAUAAGUAUGCUUAUAAAACUCGAUUCUGUCAGGCUCCACUCUUUCAGGGUUUGUUUCACCCAUUUCAGCACGAGCAGCUACAAAAGCCUUUGACCCCAUUAAAUGAUUAGAUUUAAGCUUAGUUCGAUUCACCUUAUUUAUGUCGCAUCGUUUCUUAUGCUCUGGAUUGAUCUACGCGUCACAAAGCCUGUUCCAAUUUUCAGGGAUCAACUCUGACACUUCAAUUUUACGAGCUUCUUCCUCGGAGCGUGCACUUUCAAUAAUUGUUUUAACUUGUAGCGCCAUUGUCGACUUCUAUUUUUCAGAAUAUCCUCACAGCUAUCUUUCACGUAAUGCUCGUCUAAAUUAAUCUCAAAUCUCUCCAGGCAUCUAAUAAGUGCUGCAUCUCUGUCCUCUCUUGCGAGUUCCUUCCACUUAUUUGGAAGCGGAAGAAAAUUCCGGGCAAUUACGCCCAACUCAUUGGAUAGUUUUUUCUGAUUGAGUUGGUUUAGUUGGACUUCCCUUACCAACUGAUAUCUCGAUCUUCAUCUUGCCUCUCAUAGACUUCUUCAUUUUUUCAAGACCUUUUCCUCUAGUCUUGCCACGACAUUUCCUGAUUCUGUAACAACAACAGGGGUAAUGUUAUUCGAUUCAUCUGGUUAUUCAGUAGCUUGAAUAGUUUCCCCUGUAAGUGUAGUCUGCUUGAAGAUACGUCCACCCGGUGCCAUUGAUUUGCAAAAUUCUGUUUAGUCUUCCAUCAGCUACGAUUAUGUUGCUAAACAAGCUAACUAGAGUAGGAUAGCUGGCGAAGACAUCAACAAUGGUAUCUGAGCUGACAUGCAAAGAUUCAUUUAUGUGAUAUUGGAUCUGAAGCAUCUCUACAUGAAGAUGAGGAGAAACGGUGUGUUUUGUUCAUAUUCACAAAAACACAAAACAGAGAAAUCUUAAAUUCACUCAAUUUAAGCAUGGAUCUGAGCUUGAUCACUCAAAUCAUGUUCUUCAACACUAAAAAUUAAACUCAAUCUAAAAAGUUAAUAUCUACCGUUUAGAUGACUAGUUAUUACACCUAAGG
rnacentral:misc_RNA from 1 species